AAUUAAGAAGUAUUAUGUACAUUUAAUUUCCAAUUAAAAAGUCUAAAAAUUAUUUA
rnacentral:tRNA from 1 species